UGCGAAUAAAAUUUAAAUUAGGGUGUGAAAAUAUAGUAAAAGCUAGUUGAUCUAGAAAGAACGAGAAAGAAAAAGAACAGAUCGAGGAUACUUAUGCAAAUUUGUGUUUCUCUGAAUAUGAUUAAAGAAAUAAGAGCCACGUAUCAAAGUAUCUGUAUCACUUACUAAAUAUUAUGAUAUCCCGUACGAAGAUUGCAGAGAAAAUUCAACCGAUGACAAAAUCAUGGAGUUUCGUGAAUAAACUAACAGGACACCUAAUAUCUGAAGUAUGAUAAUCGACACAUCUGAAAUCGUGAAAUGCUUUUGAUGCAAAUAUUCC
rnacentral:misc_RNA from 1 species